GAUGAACGCUGGCGGCGUGCUUAACACAUGCAAGUCGAACGGAAAGGCCCAAGCUUGCUUGGGUACUCGAGUGGCGAACGGGUGAGUAACACGUGGGUGAUCUGCCCUGCACUUCGGGAUAAGCCUGGGAAACUGGGUCUAAUACCGGAUAGGACGAUGGUUUGGAUGCCAUUGUGGAAAGUUUUUUCGGUGUGGGAUGAGCUCGCGGCCUAUCAGCUUGUUGGUGGGGUAAUGGCCUACCAAGGCGUCGACGGGUAGCCGGCCUGAGAGGGUGUACGGCCACAUUGGGACUGAGAUACGGCCCAGGCUCCUACGGGAGGCAGCAAUGGGGAAUAUUGCACAAUGGGCGCAAGCCUGAUGCAGCGACGCCGCGUGGGGGAUGACGGCCUUCGGGUUGUAAACUCCUUUCGCUAGGGACGAAGCGUUUUUGUGACGGUACCUGGAGAAGAAGCACCGGCUAACUACGUG
rnacentral:rRNA from 1 species